CACCGCUCAUACAUAAUGUUCACUGACAGGAGUAGCGUCAUAUAGAUGGAGAGAGGAUUGGGUUUUUUCCUCCCUCCAGCCUGCAGGUGGCAAUAGAGAGCGCCACUGUGCAGUGAGGACAGACUGCAGUUUAUUGUCUAUCCCCUCGUCACUUAGCUGGAGGGAGAAAGGAAGAAGGUGACUGCAUGCAUGGCAGGAGGUUUGUAAGGAAGAACUUGGAAUAAAAAGAUUGCAACUAUGCAGGAUAAAUUGACUCCCAUUGUCCAGCAUAACGAUAGACUCCCAGCACAGCAGAAGGCACAGAAGUGUCUGUAUGCCCAGCAACAACAAAGCACAAUUAAUGAAAGUAGGGUAAAUAAUCAGAGUAUUUCACUGUACAGUGUUCAACACAAUGUGAAGAUAAGGAAUCUUAACACCCACUUAAACCAGCCAGAUAUCCAACACAUUUGGAAUACCCACAGAAAAAAAGAAAUGCCGCAGUUGGUAUUAAAAAAACAAAAACAGAUGCGUAAUUUCCAGGAACACUGGCGCCAGAAGUUCUUGGUAGACUAUGAUUGGAAGACAGAGGAAGCUGUCUGUAUACUGUGUGGG